rnacentral:rRNA from 1 species
UGGGGAAUCUUGCGCAAUGCGCGAAAGCGUGACGCAGCAACGCCGCGUGGGGGAAGAAGGCCUUCGGGUUGUAAACCCCUUUCAGUUGGGACGAAGCUUCGUGGGUUAAUAGCCCGCUGGAGUGACGGUACCUUCAGAAGAAGCCCCGGCUAACUACGUGCCAGCAGCCGCGGUAAUACGUAGGGGGCUAGCGUUGUCCGGAAUCAUUGGGCGUAAAGCGCGUGUAGGCGGUCCGGUAAGUCCGCUGUGAAAGUCGGGGGCUCAACCCUCGGAUGCCGGUGGAUACUGUCGGGCUUGAGUACGGAAGAGGCGAGUGGAAUUCCUGGUGUAGCGGUGAAAUGCGCAGAUAUCAGGAGGAACACCAAUUGCGAAGGCAGCUCGCUGGGACGUUACUGACGCUGAGACGCGAAAGCGUGGGGAGCAAACAGGAUUAGAUACCCCGGUAGUCC